AUGAAGUUUCCUGUUGUGCUGUUGGUGCUACUGGUAUUCAGGGUUCCUGCUUCCAGAGGGGAUAUUGUGAUGAUUCAAACUCCAGUUUCCCUGCCUGUCAGCCUUGGAGAUAAGGCCUCCAUCUCUUGCAGGUCUAGUCAGAGCCUUGCACAUAGUAAUGGAAACAGCUUUUUGGAAUGGUACCUGCAGAAGCCAGGCCAGUCUCCACAGCCCCUGAUAUAUGAGGUCUCCAAGAGAUUAUCUGGAGUUCCAGACAGGUUCAGUGGCAGUGGGUCAGGCACAGACUUCACACUCAAGAUCAGCAGAGUGGAGCCUGAUGAUUUGGGAGUUUAUUUUUGUCUCCAAGCUUCUUAUUUACCUCCCACAGUGAUUCAGACCUUAACAAAAACUAUUCUUGGGGUAGCCCAGCUGCCAAAUAAGUUACUUAUCUGUGUGAGAGAGAGAAUGGUGCUGAGGGCCUCACACCUCACUGGUCAUGCAUUUCUGGUCUCAUCAACAGCAAUAACAAUGACAUUUCACCUGUCUCAGGAAAUUGGUAAACAUGUCCCCUCUCAGCAACUAGGGACAAUGAGGUUAAAGCUAAACAAAAACUUACUCUGA